UGUCAGGUGAUCGUGAAACACGGCACAUACACAUUUUUGUUUAUCUUCUGACUAGUUGGACAGUCGGAACGGAUCGGGAACGCGUCCUAUAUAACCUCUCCUCUAUUUCAGUAUUAAUUCGAUCUCCUUAGAGUCACGUAUUAGUCCUUAGAAAAUGUUUUCGUAAACGUAUUUUUUUGAGGGCUCAGGUGGUUUUUUCAAAAACCCGAAUUUCGUUGAUAUUUUCAUCAUUAAAUCGUAUAAGAUGAUCACAUCUACCACGCGACGAAAUG